AGUCUCCCACUAUUAUUGUAUUCUUUUCUAUCUCUUCCUUUAGAUCUAUUAAUGUUUGAUUUAUAUACUUGGAAGCUCUGAUGUUAGGUGCAUAGAUAUUUAUAGUUGUUAUAUCUUCUUGCCAAAUUGACUGCUUCAUCAUUGUAUAGUGACCUUCUUUAACCUUAGUUUUUUAGUCUAGUUUAUCUAAGUAUAGCUACUUUUGUUUUUUAUUGGUUUCCAGUUGCAUGGAAUAUUUUUUCCACCCCUUCACUUUAAGCUUAUGCAUGCCUAUAUAGGUGAAGUGAGUUUCUUGAAGGCAGCAUAUAGUUGGGUCUUGUUUCUUUAUCAAUUCAGUCACGUUAUGACUUUUAAUUGGAGAAUUUAGACCAUUUAUAGUUAGUGUUAUUAUUGGUAAGUAAGGACUUGCUACUGCCAUUUUGCUGCCUAUUUUCUGGUUGUUUUGAGACUACUCUCUUCCUUUCUCAGUCUAGUUUUUUUUCAUGUUUAAGUGAUUUUCCCUGGUAGUGUGUUUUAAUUUCUUGGUUUUUAUUUUUGCUGAAUCUAUUAUAGGUUUUUGCACUGUAGUUACCAUUAGGCUUACAAAAAAAAUAGAUAUCACAAGUUAUUUUAUGUAGAUGACAAUUUACCUUAGAUAAAAAGGCAGAAACAAAGGCAA